rnacentral:rRNA from 1 species
GACAGAGGGGGCAAGCGUUGCUCGGAAUCACUGGGCGUAAAGGGCUCGUAGGCGGCCAACUAAGUCAGACGUGAAAUCCCUCGGCUUAACCGGGGAACUGCGUCUGAUACUGGAUGGCUCGAGGACAGGAGAGGAACGCGGAAUUCCAGGUGUAGCGGUGAAAUGCGUAGAUAUCUGGAGGAACACCGGUGGCGAAGGCGGCGUUCUGGACUGUUUCUGACACUGAAAAACGAAAGCCAGGGGAGCAAACGGG